AGUCACCCCCUUCUUCUUGCUCAGUCCCUGCAGUUCAGAUGGUGAGGAUGCAUCCAGGACCAGAGGCUGGGAUUAGCACUGGAGAGCACCCCAAAUCUCCUCAGCCACAGUGAUUGGUUUGUGACCAAUUGCUCGAAGCAUGCAUCCCACUCAGCAGCUGGAUGUGGAACGGACCCAAAUUGCUUUGCUGCACAUGCUGGGACCUAUGAGGAUGCAAUCACGGCUGACAGACACCAGCAGGCAGAGAGAGGCACCAACCCCGCUCUGUGGAGGCCUUACCCUCGGGAAAGUUGCACCCGGACUUGAGAUGUAAAGUCAGAUGCCAUGGAAAAUUGGAGAAGCCUAUUCUUGUGAAUUCCUAGUAUCCUCCUGAAUCCAAUGGAAAAACAUCAGGCCAAUUGUAAACCUAUAUAUCUCAUACAGUGACUUUUUUUUUAAUGCCAAAAUAAAAAUUUUACUUACUCCAGAACUUGAUGGAAAUAAAAUGUAGGCUGUAAGAACAUUAAACGUUUAACUUAUCAUUUUCUUGCUCUUGAGAAAUAAAAA